rnacentral:rRNA from 1 species
UACGGGGGGAGCAAGCGUUGUUCGGAUUUACUGGGCGUAAAGGGCGCGUAGGCGGCCACCGCAAGUCGGUUGUGAAAUCUCCGGGCUUAACCCGGAAAGGUCAAUCGAUACUGCGGGGCUAGAGUCCGGAAGAGGCGAGUGGAAUUCCUGGUGUAGCGGUGAAAUGCGCAGAUAUCAGGAGGAACACCGAUGGCGAAGGCAGCUCGCUGGGACGGUACUGACGCUGAGGCGCGAAGGCCAGGGGAGCAAACAGG